GACGAACGCUGGCGGCGUGCCUAAUACAUGCAAGUAGAACGCUGAAGCGAGGAGCUUGCUCUUCUUGGAUGAGUUGCGAACGGGUGAGUAACGCGUAGGUAACCUGCCUUGUAGCGGGGGAUAACUAUUGGAAACGAUAGCUAAUACCGCAUAACAAUGGAUGACACAUGUCAUUUAUUUGAAAGGGGCAAUUGCUCCACUACAAGAUGGACCUGCGUUGUAUUAGCUAGUAGGUGAGGUAAUGGCUCACCUAGGCGACGAUACAUAGCCGACCUGAGAGGGUGAUCGGCCACACUGGGACUGAGACACGGCCCAGACUCCUACGGGAGGCAGCAGUAGGGAAUCUUCGGCAAUGGGGGCAACCCUGACCGAGCAACGCCGCGUGAGUGAAGAAGGUUUUCGGGUCGUAAAGCUCUGUUGUAAGUCAAGAACGGGUGUGAGAGUGGAAAGUUCACACUGUGACGGUAGCUUACCAGAAAGGGACGGCUAACUACGUG
rnacentral:rRNA from 1 species